UACGUAGGGGGCAAGCGUUGUCCGGAAUUAUUGGGCGUAAAGCGCGUGUAGGCGGUCCGGUAAGUCGGCUGUGAAAGUCCAGGGCUCAACCCCGAACUUGCAGUGGGUACGGGCAGACUAGAGUGUGGUAGGGGAGACUGGAAUUCCCGGUGUAGCGGUGAAAUGCGCAGAUAUCAGGAGGAACACCGAUGGCGAAGGCAGGUCUCUGGGCCGAUACUGACGCUGAGGAGCGAAAGCGUGGGGAGCGAACAGG
rnacentral:rRNA from 1 species